UUGCACAUUCUCGACAGCUUUCAGUUAGGUCUGUAUAGGACAAAGCAAUACAUUAUUAUUAGUGUUUUUUUUUAUUUAUUUAGUUGUAUUAUUUUAUAUUUUAUUGUGCAUUUCUUACAAUCAGCUUGGUCAGUGGGAGCAGAAUGUGAUGUUGCUGCUCCAUUUACUAUAGUGUCUGCAGCAAGGUGAGAAAACUGUGUGACUGCUCUUAAAAGACCGCUGGCAUCUGAACACAAAAAGUAAUGAUGUAACUUACCACAUAGGCACAACUAAACUAUAUUAUACAAUGAGGUGCAAUGUAUUUCACCAUUUCUAUUUCCAAGGUAAACAAGAUGGCUUUGCUGCAUUUUGUCAAUUGACGCCAUAGUGGUCUGAGCUCUGUUUAUCAAGUAAUCUGAAAAUGAAAUGAAGAGAAUUGCAAUGUCAAUUUUAAAAUGACUGAUUAAGAAGCCUUUUCUCAACAUCUUGACAGGACUGGACAUGUUUUGUGUGUGUGAUGAGUGUGGAGGUGUGGGUUGUGGAAGUAUUUUUGUUUGCUUGUUUGUUUUUUGUUUUUUUUUUGUUUUGUGGUUCAAAUAUUUUACCAGGAGAGCUGACGCAGCGUAUAUGUAUGGGGUCAUCCACUUUGGCCAAUGCAUCUAAAAUGAUUCCUUCAGCUUCCACCACAGCACACUGCAGUAAACCAAACUGUUCGUCCUGCAAUUUCUGAGACAGUUCACCUUCACGAUAGGCCUGGCACCCACAGAAAUAAGCAGGUGCUUCGUAAUAGAGCCAUUUCUGCUCUUUGUUCCAGCAAUUCUUUACUGAGACUGUCAACUUGUACCUGCUGUUUACUCAUCUGACAAACACAGGAUGAAAAAGAUGUUCUUCUCCUGGAGUGACCACCACUGGCUUCUUAUAUUCUCCCAGAGCAGCUGCACGGAGGAAGUUUGGGGGUUCCUGAAGGGAAGAUACACUUUAAUGUCUAAAUGAGGGACACUUCAUGUAAAACAACUUCCAAUGGAACCUUAGCUGGUCUGCACUUGCUUACUAAAACACUACUUAAACAUAGUUAAGUCCAACUUGUUUAAAAUACCGUAUCUAACAAUGCAGUAUAGAAACUGCAUAAUGCCUGUUUUAUGAACAUUAAAAAAUACUCACUUCAGGAAGAUCUGGGAUCUGAAUAAAUGUUUUAAAGAA